rnacentral:rRNA from 1 species
UGGGGAAUCUUGCGCAAUGGGCGAAAGCCUGACGCAGCAACGCCGCGUGGGGGAUGAAGGCCUUCGGGUUGUAAACCCCUUUCAGUGGGAACGAAAUUGACGGUACCCACAGAAGAAGCCCCGGCCAACUACGUGCCAGCAGCCGCGGUGAUACGUAGGGGGCGAGCGUUGUCCGGAUUUAUUGGGCGUAAAGAGCUCGUAGGCGGCUUGGUAAGUCGGGUGUGAAACCCUCAGGCUCAACCUGGGGACGCCACUCGAUACUGCCAUAGCUGGAGUCCGGUAGGGGACCACGGAAUUCCUGGUGUAGCGGUGAAAUGCGCAGAUAUCAGGAGGAACACCGGUGGCGAAGGCGGUGGUCUGGGCCGGCACUGACGCUGAGGAGCGAAAGCGUGGGGAGCGAACAGG